GACGGGAGGUUGAACAUAUAUAAGGUUACAGGCCAAGUGCUAUGACCACUACUGAACUCAUCGAAUGGAUUGAAUCCAUAUGUACUUAAAUCAUACCGCAUGUUCCUUGGAUCUUUUUCAAACUCGAGAAACUCUCUAUCAAUUGUUCUUCACUGGGACCCAUCAGCAGGUGUCCGAUCAUUUCAUCUUGCUUACAUUUUUCUUUGUGCCAACGCAUCA
rnacentral:lncRNA from 1 species